GUUUAUAACAGCAUUUGACAGCCUCGUGACUCUCACAUAGGGAAAAAGUCUCGCCUGAAAACCCAUGCUAAGCUGCGUGUCUUGAGCUGUGCCAAUUUGUAUUCCAGGCAGCCUAAGGUUCCCAUCGUGAGUUUCAGGAAGGGAAAUUCAUGGAGGAAGUUCACCUCUGGAAGGGUGAGGAGCAAUAAAUAGGGUGGGUGAUGGACAUAUGUGACGUUUGCCACAGAGAGGCAGUCAGUAUGGGCCUUGUGGUCCGGGCUCUGCUUUGGGACACAAAUAUAAACUGUGUGAAGUCUUAUGGUAGCAUUCAUAACCCUGAUGCUUCACCCACCUUCCCAUACAUUAGAGGGACAAACAGAAGGAUCCCAGCUCUAUGGUUCUUGAUUGUUUGUCAGGUAGCAGCCAGGCAUGGAGAGGGAAAAAUUCUUUCUUUUCUGCUGCACUCUAGAUCCUUCCUUCUCUCCUCCUUCUUCAUUCUACACCACCCCCAACACAUAUCCCUGCACCCCGCCCAUUCUUUGCUCUCUCUCCUUUCUUACACUUAACUCCUUCUUGCUCCACAGCCUAACAUGCUGAUUAACAGGACCCCAAAGGUUUGGGUGGGUAUUAGGGGCCUUCUCAACAAAAGCAGCACACUCUUGAGCUUGUUCUUCCUUUUGUUGCCAUCUCAGAUAAAAAGGCCCCAUGAGGGAGGAGACAGAUAAGUAUAGACUUGGUAUUCUGAUAACUCUGUGUUACAUGGGAUCAGAUGUAAAUGAGUUGUACCCUGUGGUGUUUCAUGCUCUGCUGUGUUGUCUUCUCAUGGUGAGCUUUUCUGUGCCCUUAUUUCAUCCAGCUCUGGUUUCUGUGUUUCAUGUUAUUUCUCCUAGCCUCUGUAAACUCUGCAGCAUACUAAUAAUGCUCUGGCUUUCUGAUUAAAGAUAAAUGGCUUACUAUCAUCACCCCUGGCUUGAGGGCCAGCUCACAUGUAAUCCCUUAUAGGAUUCCAAAGUUGUUAAAUAAAUGCAGUUCUUUUUGUCAUUUUGAAGCAUUCAAAAAUUUUUCAAGAAAAGCUAUGAUCAUAUAAAUAGAAAUUUUAUCCAGAAUGUUACAGUGUAGCAUUUGUGAAUAAAUGUGUAGGUGCUGUAUUUGCUCAGACUCUAGUUUGGGUUGUGUUUUCUUUUCCCUUUUUUUUUUUGAGACAGGGUCUCUCUCUGUCAUCUGGGCUGCAGUGCAGUGGUAUAAUCACAGCUCACUGCAACCUCUACUCCCAGGCUCAAGCAAUCCUCCUGAGUAGCUGGGACUAGAGACAUGCGCCACAACGCCCAGCUAAUUUUUAGGUUUUUCUUUCACAUAGACAGGGUCUCACUCUGUUGGCCAGGCUGGUUUCGAACUCCUGGACUCAAGCAAUUCCCCCCACCUCAGCCUCCUAAAGUGCUGGGAUUACAGGCCUGAGCCACCAUACCCAGCAAGUUAUAUUUUCUUUUUCCUUAUAUAGAGUAAAAUAAGGGUGAGUGACCGAGAGGUUGAUGCAUAGCUAGAUCACCAGUUUAAAUGCCUUCCCACACACCCCUUUCCUCCUGUUCCCUCCACCUACAGGUUGUAGAUGAGCAUGAGAGUGUGGAGCAGAGUUGGCGAGUGCAAGUCGAGCCCAUCAACCUGGACAGCUGUCUCCGUGCUUUCACCAGUGAGGAAGAGCUAGGGGAAGAUGAGAUAUACUACUGUUCCAAGUGUAAGACCCACUGCUUUAGCAACAAAGAAGCUGGAUCUCUGGAGGCUUCCACCCUUCCUGAUUAUUCACCUUAAGCGAUUUCAAUUUGUAAAUGAUCAGUGGAUAAAAUCACAGAAAAUUGUCAAAUUUCCUCGGGAAAGUUUUGAUCCGAGUGCUUUUUUGGUACCACGAGACCCGGCUCUCUGCCAGCAUCAACCACUCACACCCCAGGGGGAUGAGCUCUCCAAGCCCAGGAUUCUGGCAAGAGAGGUGAAGAAAGUGGAUGUGCAGAGUUUGGCUGGGGAAGAGGACAUGCUCCUGAGCAAAAGCCCAUCCUCACUCAGCGCUAACAUCAGCAGCAGCCCAAAAGGUUCUCCUUCUUCAUCAAGAAAAAGUGGAACCAGCUGUCCCUCCAGCAAAAACAGCAGCCCUAAUAGCUGCCCACGGACUUUGGGGAGGAGCAAAGGGAGGCUCCGGCUGCCCCAGAUUGGCAGCAAAAAUAAACUGUCAAGUAGUAAGAAGAACUUGGAUGCCAGCAAAGAGAAUGGGGCUGGGCAGAUCUGUGAGCUGGCUGAUGCCUUGAGCUGAGGGCAUAUGCGGGGGGGCAGCCAACCAGAGCUGGUCACUCCUCAGGACCACGAGGUAGCUUUGGGCAAUGGAUUCCUUUAUGAGCAUGAAGCAUAUGGCAAUGGCUACAGCAAUGGUCAGCUUGGAAACCACAGUGAAGAAGACAGCACUGAUGACCAAAGAGAAGACACUCAUAUUAAGCCUAUUUAUAAUCUAUAUGCAAUUUCAGUAAGUGGUUUAUUGUAUGGUUUUCGGAGAGUGGUCUGUGUUUUGUUCACUUGUCUUCAUGUAUUCAUCAGCAAGUAUUUUUCAGGUCCUGCUUAUUUCCUAGCAUUGAGCUUAGUGAUAGAGAAAGUUAACGUAGAAAUCUGGGCCUGCCCAGGUGUGGUGGCUCACACCUGUAAUCCCAGCACUUUAGAAGGCUGAGGCAGGAGGAUCGCUUGAGCCCAGGAGUUUGAGACCAGCCUGGGCCCCAUCUCUACAAAUAAUUUUAAAAUGGAGCGAGGUAUGGUGGCAUUGCCUGUGGUCCCAGCUACUUGGAAGGCUGAGGCAGAAGGAUCACCUGAACCCAGGAGGCCAAGUCUUUAGAGAGUUGUGAUCACUUGACUGCACCCCAGCCUGGGUGAUAGAGCAAGCCCCUGUCUCAAAAUAAUAAUAAUAAUAGUAAUUACAUUAUAAAAUGAUUGUUUAUCCACACAAGACUUGGAGCUUAUGACUUUUGUAUUUUGCUUUUUGCUUAUUUUGGUUUUAGAGAAAGUUAGAGGGUUCUAAAAUAUUUUCUCACCUACUGAUCAUUUACAUGAUCACUGUUCUCCUGCUCAGAUCCUAGUGCUAUACCCUGGCCAUAGUACAGUUAACUACUAACAUACAUCCACUCUCUUAUCUCUUACAGUGCCAUUCAGGAAUUCUGAGUGGGGGCCAUUACGUCACUUAUGCCAAAAACCCAAACUGCAAGUGGUACUGCUACAAUGGCAGCAUCUGUGAGGUAAACAUUCUCAAUCUUUGAAUGAAAGUUAGAAACAGAAUAUCAACAGAACUGGAGAACAUUUGUUGAAAUAAUGGACUAUCUCUUGAAUAGGAAAUAGAUAUUUCUGUUAGAAUCAAUAUAUAGAUGCUGUCAGUAUUAAAGAAACAAAAGUGAUAUGCAGAGUAGGGAAUGAAAACAUGAGUAGUGAGGAAAAAUAAAGAGUUAGUUGACCGGGCGCAGUGGCUCAUGCCUGUAAUCCCAGCACUUUGGGAGGCUGAGGCAGGCUUAGGAGGUGGAUCACUUGAUGUCAGGAGUUAAAGACCAGACUGGCCAACAUGGCGAAACCCCAUCUCUGCUAAAAAUACAAAAAUUAGUUGGGCAUGUUGGCACAUGCCUGUAAUCCCAGCUACUCAGGAGGCUGAGGCAGGAGAAUGGCUUGAACCUGGGAGGUGGAGGUUGCAGUGAGCCAAGACUGCACCACUGCACUCCAGCCUGGGCAACAGAGCAAGACUCUGUCUCAAAAAAAAAAAAAAAA
ensembl:lncRNA novel transcript